rnacentral:rRNA from 1 species
GACGAACGCUGGCGGCGUGCUUAACACAUGCAAGUCGAACGGAAAGGCCCUGCUUUUGUGGGGUGCUCGAGUGGCGAACGGGUGAGUAACACGUGAGUAACCUGCCCUUGACUUUGGGAUAACUUCAGGAAACUGGGGCUAAUACCGGAUAGGAGCUCCUGCUGCAUGGUGGGGGUUGGAAAGUUUCGGCGGUUGGGGAUGGACUCGCGGCUUAUCAGCUUGUUGGUGGGGUAGUGGCUUACCAAGGCUUUGACGGGUAGCCGGCCUGGGAGGGUGACCGGCCACAUUGGGACUGAGAUACGGCCCAGACUCCUACGUGAGGCAGCAGUGGGGAAUAUUGCACAAUGGGCGGAAGCCUGAUGCAGCAGCGCCGCGUGCGGGAUGACGGCCUUCGGGUUGUAAACCGCUUUCGCCUGUGACGAAGCGUGAGUGACGGUAAUGGGUAAAGAAGCACCGGCUAACUACGUG